UACGAAGGGGGCUAGCGUUGUUCGGAUUUACUGGGCGUAAAGCGCACGUAGGCGGAUCGUUAAGUUAGGGGUGAAAUCCUGGAGCUCAACUCCAGAACUGCCUCUAAUACUGGCGAUCUAGAGUCCGGAAGAGGUGAGUGGAACUCCUAGUGUAGAGGUGGAAUUCGUAGAUAUUAGGAAGAACACCAGUGGCGAAGGCGGCUCACUGGCCCGAUACUGACGCUGAGGCACGAAAGCGUGGGGAGCAAACAGG
rnacentral:rRNA from 1 species